rnacentral:rRNA from 1 species
ACUCCAUGAAGCUGGAUUCGCUAGUAAUCGCGCAUCAGCCACGGCGCGGUGAAUACGUUCCCGGGCCUUGUACACACCGCCCGUCAAGCCAUGGAAGCCGGGAGUGCCUGAAGUGCGUGACCGCAAGGAGCGUCCUAAGGCAAUACCGGUGACUGGGCUAAGUCGUAACAAGGUAUC